rnacentral:rRNA from 1 species
UGACACGGUCAACAUUCCGUGACUACCGCCAUCAGUGAUGUCCAGACGGAGCAGUGACACCUCCGCGCCCUGACGGAAUAGGGCGUUGAAGGGCGUAGGCUAUGAUGAUGCCAGGCAAAUCCGGCAUCAGAGCUGAAACCUGAGAGUACGGGGUCCCCUUCGGGGGAACCUGAGAGCGAGGGUAAUCAUACUCCCGAGAAAAUGGGCUAAACUCAUGUUGGCGGUACCCGUACCGCAAACCAACACAGGUAGUUGGGUAGAACAUACUAAGGCGUUGAGAGAUUCAUGGCUAAGGAACUAGGCAAACUGACCCCGUAACUUCGGGAUAAGGGGUCCUCACCUCCGGGUGAGGCGCAGAGAAUAGGUCCAGGCAACUGUUUAACAAAAACACAGGGCUGUGCGAACUCGAAAGAUGAAGUAUACAGCCUGACACCUGCCCGGUGCCGGAAGGUUAAGAGGAGAUGUCACCGCAAGGGAAGCAUUGAAUUGAAGCCCCGGUAAACGGCGGCCGUAACAAUAACGGUCCUAAGGUAGCGAAAUUCCUUGUCGGGUAAGUUCCGACCUGCACGAAUGGUGUAAUGAUCCGGACGCUGUCUCGGCCAUGAGCUCAGUGAAAUUGUAGUAUCGGUGAAGAUGCCGAUUACCCGCGAUGGGACGAAAAGACCCCGUGAACCUUUACUACAGCUUAGCAUUGACCUUGGUCAUCCGAUGUGUAGGAUAGGCCGGAGGCUUCGAAGCGGCGUCGCCAGGCGUUGUGGAGCCAUCCUUGAAAUACGGCCCUUUGGCUGUCUGAGGUCUAACGCGGAUAGUCGCGGACACUGCUUGGUGGGUAGUUUGACUGGGGUGGUCGCCUCCAAAAGCGUAACGGAGGCUUCCAAAGGUGCCCUCGGGCCGUUUGGUAAGCGGCCUUCAAGAGUGCAAUGGCAAAAGGGCGCUUGACUGGGAGGGAGACAUCCCGAGCAGGCAGGAAACUGGGGCAUAGUGAUCCGGCGGAUGUGUAUGGAAACUCCGUCGCUCAAAGGAUAAAAGGUACUCCGGGGAUAACAGGCUGAUCCCCCCCAAGAGCUCAUAUCGACGGGGUGGUUUGGCACCUCGAUGUCGGCUCGUCACAUCCUGGGGCUGGAGAAGGUCCCAAGGGUUGGGCUGUUCGCCCAUUAAAGUGGCACGCGAGCUGGGUUCAGAACGUCGUGAGACAGUUCGGUCUCUAUCUAUCGUGGGCGCAGGAGUUUUGAGUGGUGCUGUCACUAGUACGAGAGGACCGUGACGGACAGACCUCCGGUGUACCGGUUGUGCCGCCAGGCGCACCGCCGGGUAUCCGCGUCUGGAUCGGAUAAGCGCUGAAAGCAUCUAAGUGCGAAGCUUUCCACGAGAUUAGAACUCCAUUGAGGGUCGUCGCAGACGACGACGUUGAUAGGGCGCAGGUGUAAAGACGGCGACGUCAAAGCCGAGCGCUACUAAUUGCCC